rfam:Lingula anatina scaffold136, whole genome shotgun sequence.
UUUUUUGAGAGUUUAAUCCUGGCUCAGGAUUAACGCUGGCGGCAUGCCUAAUACAUGCAAGUCGAACGAAACAGUUUACUGUUUAGUGGCGAACGGGUGAGUAAUACAUAUUUAAUCUACCCUUAAGUUGGGGAUAAUUACUGGAAACGGUGACUAAUACCGAAUAUGUUAUUAGAACAUAAGUUUUAAUAAUGAAAGGAACGUUUGUUUCGCUUUUGGAUGAGAAUGUGUUGUAUUAGAUAGUUGGUAGGAUAAAAGCCUACCAAGUCAUUGAUACAUAGUCGGACUGAGAGGUUGAUCGACCACACUGGGAUUGAGAUACGGCCCAGACUCCUACGGGAGGCAGCAGUAAGGAAUUUUUCACAAUGGGGGAAACCCUGAUGAAGCAAUGCCGCGUGAUUGAAGAAGGUUUUAGGAUUGUAAAGAUCUGUGGUAAAGGAAAAAAGUUUAAGUAGAGAAAAAUACUUAAAUUUGAUGUUACUUUACUAGAAAGUCAUGACUAACUACGUGCCAGCAGUCGCGGUAAUACGUAGGUGGCAAGCGUUAUCCGGAUUCAUUGGGUGUAUAGUAUGCGUAGACGGAAUUAUAAGUCAAAAAUUUAAUAAUAAGGCUCAACCUUAUACCAUUUUUGAUACUAUUUUUCUUGAGGAUAGAAGAUGUUGAUAGAAUUUCAUGUGUAGCGGUGAAAUGCGUGGAGAUAUGAAAGAAUACCAAAGGCGAAGGCAAUUAACAUGUCUAUUCCUGACGUUGAGGCAUGAGAGCAUGGGUAGCAAAUAGGAUUAGAUACCCUAGUAGUCCAUAGCUGUAAACGAUGAGUGCUAGAUGUUUCAUUAGAAGUAUCGAAGUUAACACGUUAAGCACUCCACCUGGGGAGUACGUACGCAAGUAUAAAACUCAAAGGAAUUGACGGGAACCCGCACAAGCAGUGGAACAUGUGGUUUAAUUCGAAGAAACGCGAAGAACCUUACCAAGACUUGAAAUUUUUCGCAAUGUUAUAGAAAUAUAACGGAGGUUAACGAUCAACAGAUGGUGCAUGGCUGUCGUCAGUUCGUGUUGUGAAAUGUAAGGUUAAGUCCUCUAACGAACGCAACCCUUGUCGUUAGUUGCUAACAUUAAGUUGAGUACUUUAACGAGACUGCCGGUGUAAACCGGAGGAAGGUGAGGAUGACGUCAAGUCCUUAUGCCUCUUACGUCUUGGGCUACACACGUGUUACAAUGGCUGAUACAAAGAGUCGCAAAUGUGCAAAUAUGAGCAAAUCUUCAAAGUCAGUCUCAGUUCGGAUCGAAGUCUGCAACUCGACUUCGUGAAGUCGGAAUUGCUAGUAAUCGCAAAUCAGCAACGUUGCGGUGAAUACGUUCUCGGGUUUUGUACACACCGCCCGUCAAACCACGAAAGUUGGUAGUACUGGAAGGUGAUAUCCUAACCGAAAGGGAGGAAUCAACCAAGGUAAGAUCGAUGAUUGGGGUUAAGUCGUAACAUGGUAUCCUUACGGGAAUGUGAGGAUGGACAACUCCUUUC